GCGCAGCCUGAUCUAGCCAUGCCGCGUGUGUGAUGAAGGUCUUAGGAUCGUAAAGCACUUUCGCCAGGGAUGAUAAUGACAGUACCUGGUAAAGAAACCCCGGCUAACUCCGUGCCAGCAGCCGCGGUAAUACGGAGGGGGUUAGCGUUGUUCGGAAUUACUGGGCGUAAAGCGUACGUAGGCGGAUUGGAAAGUUGGGGGUGAAAUCCCAGGGCUCAACCCUGGAACUGCCUCCAAAACUAUCAGUCUAGAGUUCGAGAGAGGUGAGUGGAAUUCCAAGUGUAGAGGUGAAAUUCGUAGAUAUUUGGAGGAACACCAGUGGCGAAGGCGGCUCACUGGCUCGAUACUGACGCUGAGGUACGAAAGUGUGGGGAGCAAACAGGAUUAGAUACCCUGGUAGUCCACACCGUAAACGAUGAAUGCCAGUCGUCGGGCAGUAUACUGUUCGGUGACACACCUAACGGAUUAAGCAUUCCGCCUGGGGAGUACGGUCGCAAGAUUAAAACUCAAAUG
rnacentral:rRNA from 1 species